rnacentral:rRNA from 1 species
UCGAGCGAGCUUGCCUAGAUGAAUUUGGUGCUUGCACCAGAUGAAACUAGAUACAAGCGAGCGGCGGACGGGUGAGUAACACGUGGGUAACCUGCCCAAGAGACUGGGAUAACACCUGGAAACAGAUGCUAAUACCGGAUAACAACACUAGACGCAUGUCUAGAGUUUAAAAGAUGGUUCUGCUAUCACUCUUGGAUGGACCUGCGGUGCAUUAGCUAGUUGGUAAGGUAACGGCUUACCAAGGCAAUGAUGCAUAGCCGAGUUGAGAGACUGAUCGGCCACAUUGGGACUGAGACACGGCCCAAACUCCUACGGGAGGCAGCAGUAGGGAAUCUUCCACAAUGGACGCAAGUCUGAUGGAGCAACGCCGCGUGAGUGAAGAAGGGUUUCGGCUCGUAAAGCUCUGUUGGUAGUGAAGAAAGAUAGAGGUAGUAACUGGCCUUUAUUUGACGGUAACUACUUAGAAAGUCACGGCUAACUACGUGCCAGCAGCCGCGGUAAUACGUAGGUGGCAAGCGUUGUCCGGAUUUAUUGGGCGUAAAGCGAGUGCAGGCGGUUCAAUAAGUCUGAUGUGAAAGCCUUCGGCUCAACCGGAGAAUUGCAUCAGAAACUGUUGAACUUGAGUGCAGAAGAGGAGAGUGGAACUCCAUGUGUAGCGGUGGAAUGCGUAGAUAUAUGGAAGAACACCAGUGGCGAAGGCGGCUCUCUGGUCUGCAACUGACGCUGAGGCUCGAAAGCAUGGGUAGCGAACAGGAUUAGAUACCCUGGUAGUCCAUGCCGUANACGAUGAGUGCUAAGUGUUGGGAGGUUUCCGCCUCUC